UCGAACGGUAACAGGGAGCUUGCUCCGCUGACGAGUGGCGAACGGGUGAGUAAUAUAUCGGAACGUACCCAAGAGUGGGGGAUAACGUAGCGAAAGUUACGCUAAUACCGCAUACGAUCUAUGGAUGAGAGCAGGGGACCUUCGGGCCUUGUGCUCCUGGAGCGGCCGAUAUCUGAUUAGCUAGUUGGUGAGGUAAAGGCUCACCAAGGCGACGAUCAGUAGCUGGUCUGAGAGGACGACCAGCCACACUGGAACUGAGACACGGUCCAGACUCCUACGGGAGGCAGCAGUGGGGAAUUUUGGACAAUGGGCGCAAGCCUGAUCCAGCAAUGCCGCGUGAGUGAAGAAGGCCUUUCGGGUUGUAAAGCUCUUUUGUCAGGGAAGAAACGGCUGUGGCUAAUAUCCACGGCUAAUGACGGUACCUGAAGAAUAAGCACCGGCUAACUACGUGCCAGCAGCCGCGGUAAUACGUAGGGUGCAAGCGUUAAUCGGAAUUACUGGGCGUAAAGCGUGCGCAGGCGGUUUUGUAAGUCUGUCGUGAAAUCCCCGGGCUCAACCUGGGAAUUGCGAUGGAGACUGCAAGGCUAGAAUCUGGCAGAGGGGGGUAGAAUUCCACGUGUAGCAGUGAAAUGCGUAGAGAUGUGGAGGAACACCGAUGGCGAAGGCAGCCCCCUGGGUCAAGAUUGACGCUCAUGCACGAAAGCGUGGGGAGCAAACAGGAUUAGAUACCCUGGUAGUCCACGCCCUAAACGAUGUCUACUAGUUGUCGGGUUUUAAUUAACUUGGUAACGCAGCUAACGCGUGAAGUAGACCGCCUGGGGAGUACGGUCGCAAGAUUAAAACUCAAAGGAAUUGACGGGGACCCGCACAAGCGGUGGAUGAUGUGGAUUAAUUCGAUGCAACGCGAAAAACCUUACCUACCCUUGACAUGUCAGGAAGACCGAAGAGAUUUGGGUUGUGCCCGAAAGGGAACCUGAACACAGGUGCUGCAUGGCUGUCGUCAGCUCGUGUCGUGAGAUGUUGGGUUAAGUCCCGCAACGAGCGCAACCCUUGUCAUUAGCUGCUACGCAAGAGCACUCUAAUGAGACUGCCGGUGACAAACCGGAGGAAGGUGGGGAUGACGUCAAGUCCUCAUGGCCCUUAUGGGUAGGGCUUCACACGUCAUACAGUGGUACAUACAGAGGGCCGCCAACCCGCGAGGGGGAGCUAAUCCCAGAAAGUGUAUCGUAGUCCGGAUCGUAGUCUGCAACUCGACUACGUGAAGUUGGAAUCGCUAGUAAUCGCGGAUCAGC
rnacentral:rRNA from 1 species